AUUCUUUUGUGGUUCAUAAGUGCAAUUGGGUUUUUUGCUCAUGUCUGAGACGUGCCUUUCUCAAACCUUGUUAUGACAUCAGCACAUCAUCCAUCUGACA
ensembl:snoRNA